rnacentral:rRNA from 1 species
UGGGGAAUUUUGGACAAUGGGGGAAACCCUGAUCCAGCCAUCCCGCGUGUGCGAUGAAGGCCUUCGGGUUGUAAAGCACUUUUGGCAGGAAAGAAACGUCGCGGGUUAAUACCCCGCGGAACUGACGGUACCUGCAGAAUAAGCACCGGCUAACUACGUGCCAGCAGCCGCGGUAAUACGUAGGGUGCAAGCGUUAAUCGGAAUUACUGGGCGUAAAGCGUGCGCAGGCGGUUCGGAAAGAAAGAUGUGAAAUCCCAGAGCUUAACUUUGGAACUGCAUUUUUAACUACCGGGCUAGAGUGUGUCAGAGGGAGGUGGAAUUCCGCGUGUAGCAGUGAAAUGCGUAGAUAUGCGGAGGAACACCGAUGGCGAAGGCAGCCUCCUGGGAUAACACUGACGCUCAUGCACGAAAGCGUGGGGAGCAAACAGGAUUAGAUACCCUGGUAGUCCACGCCCUAAACGAUGUCAACUAGCUGUUGGGGUCUUCGGACCUUGGUAGCGCAGCUAACGCGUGAAGUUGACCGCCUGGGGAGUACGGUCGCAAGAUUAAAACUUAAAUGAAUUGAC